ACGCUGGCGGCGUGCUUAACACAUGCAAGUCGAACGAAGCACUUUCUUACGAUCCCUUCGGGGUGACGAGUUUGUGACUGAGUGGCGGACGGGUGAGUAACGCGUGGGUAACCUGCCUUAUACAGGGGGAUAACAGUUGGAAACGGCUGCUAAUACCGCAUAAGCGCACAGUAUCGCAUGAUACAGUGUGAAAAACUCCGGUGGUAUAAGAUGGACCCGCGUCUGAUUAGCUAGUUGGUGAGGUAACGGCUCACCAAGGCGACGAUCAGUAGCCGAUCUGAGAGGAUGAACGGCCACAUUGGGACUGAGACACGGCCCAGACUCCUACGGGAGGCAGCAGUGGGGAAUAUUGCACAAUGGGCGAAAGCCUGAUGCAGCGACGCCGCGUGAGCGAUGAAGUAUUUCGGUAUGUAAAGCUCUAUCAGCAGGGAAGAUAAUGACGGUACCUGACUAAGAAGCACCGGCUAAAUACGUGCCAGCAGCCGCGGUAAUACGUAUGGUGCAAGCGUUAUCCGGAUUUACUGGGUGUAAAGGGAGCGUAGGCGGUCUUGCAAGUCUGAUGUGAAAGCCCGGGGCUCAACCGCGGGAUUGCAUUGGAAACUGUAGGACUUGAGUAUCGGAGAGGUAAGUGGAAUUCCUAGUGUAGCGGUGAAAUGCGUAGAUAUUAGGAGGAACACCAGUGGCGAAGGCGGC
rnacentral:rRNA from 1 species